rnacentral:miRNA from 1 species
GUGCACAACGGGGAGCACGUCGCGCCACGUGAUCGCGUGGCGCGAGGUGCUCCCCGUUGUGC